CUGCGCUCCUCCCCGCGCUGUCCCGGCGGCCCAGGAAUUCACUGUCUGUAGCACCUGCUCCUCCACAGAGGUACCCUGGGAUGGCGAUGGCACUCCCGAAGCCUGGACCCCAGGUGAGCACCCCCUGAGCCUGUCCACUGCCCCAGGAGACUGCUUCACCCCUAGCCUCAGCUUUUCAGCCCUGAGAACCUUCCAGGUUGCCUCACACCCACCCACAUCACAGGAUGGAAUCUGCAAGCCGAGGACAGCCUCCUUGUUCUAUGGCCAAAUCCUUCCAGCCUUUGGGCAGAGGUGGGCUUCCUGCGGCCUCCUAUGGCCCCUGAGCUUCUAUGGUCAGCCAUUGAGGGCAGGGUCCCUGUCCUUCCCCAGUGCCUGCCUCCUUCCUGGUGUGAAUGGUCAGCCCAUCCUCCCUCUUCUGAUGCUGACUCACUGCUGGUGUUAGAAAUUGAGACCCAGAGGGUGGGGAUGCUCCCCACCAGUGCAGGUCCUCCUCCCCCAAAUCCCUGAUAGCCUGUGGAGAGGGUGAGGCCAAGGUUGGGACCCCCUUCCUGGUAAAUCUCUCUCCCUCCCCCAAGUUCAGUUUUUCCCUCUUCCUCUCUAGGGCUUCUGCUGAGAAUGAGGCCGCUCACUCGGGGAGUUUGGGCUGCCCUUUCUCUGCUGGGCCCUGUGGAUUCAGCAAUGAGCAGCAAGGAGAGAGGCCUCUAGCAGAUCACGCAAAUGUUUCUCAUCUGCUGAGUUCUCACCGAGCCCUUGACUGCCUGGAUAGCAGAGUAUGUGGUUGCAGGAGGCUGUUGUGUUCGAGGAUGUGGCUGUGUACUUCACGAGGAUAGAGUGGAGUUGCCUGGCCCCCGACCAGCAGGCACUCUACAGGGACGUGAUGCUGGAGAACUAUGGGAACCUGGCCUCGCUAGGUGAGGGCUUCUGCCUUUGGUCCUGGGGCCGGGAGGUGCGUCUGUGUUAGCUUCAAAGGAAGGUGGUUCCAUUCCAGAUUCAAGGUCUGACACAUUUUUGAGGGGAAGCUGGAGGCUCCCCAAGGAGCCCCUCUCUGCUUCCUGUUGGGCACCCACUGCCAGCGUCAGCCUGCCUGAGGCUUCUCUCCUGGGGCAGGCCCCCCAUCUCCCCCUGGCCACCUAGGUGCCCCCUUCUGGGAGAGUGAAUGUUCCUGACCCACUCCAAGCACUCUGUGCCCCCCGAUGGCCUCCAGCCAGGCACCUGGGCAUCCCUCUUCCCUCCUGUACUGAUACAUGCUGCUUUCCUUCUCUGAGCUUAGGCUUUCUCGUUGCCAAACCAGCACUGAUCUCCCUACUGGAGCAAGGAGAGGAGCCGGGGGCCUUGAUUCUGCAGGGGGCUGAACAGAGUGUGGCCAAAGCCAGCCUGUGCACAGAUUCCAGGAUGGAGGCUGGGAUCAUGGAGUCUCCUCUGCAGAGAAAGCUCUCCACGCAGGCAGGACUGCCGGGCACCGUGUGGGGGUGCCUCCCCCCCGCACCACCCCACCCGCAUGGCGGUCCUGAGGACGGGUCAGAUAAACCCACCCACCCCCGGGCUCGGGAGCACAGCGCCUCCCCAAGGGUUCUGCAAGAAGACCCGAGCCGGCCUGUGGGGAGCUCAGCCCCCCGCUACAGGUGCGUGUGUGGCAAGGCGUUCAGAUACAACUCGCUGCUGCUCAGGCACCAGAUCAUCCACACCGGCGCCAAGCCCUUCCAGUGCACGGAGUGCGGGAAGGCCUUCAAGCAAAGCUCCAUCCUGCUGCGGCACCAGCUGAUCCACACUGAGGAGAAGCCUUUCCAGUGCGGCGAGUGCGGGAAGGCCUUCCGGCAGAGCACGCAGCUGGCUGCUCACCACCGCGUCCACACCCGCGAGCGGCCCUACGCAUGCGGCGAGUGCGGCAAGGCCUUCAGCCGCAGCUCCCGGCUGCUGCAGCACCAGAAGUUCCACACCGGGGAGAAGCCCUUCGCGUGCACCGAGUGCGGCAAGGCGUUCUGCCGCAGGUUCACCCUUAACGAGCACGGCCGCAUCCACAGCGGGGAGCGGCCCUACCGGUGCCUGCGGUGUGGGCAGCGCUUCAUCCGAGGGUCCUCGCUCCUGAAGCACCACCGGUUGCACGCGCAGGAGGGCGCCCAGGACGGCGGCGCGGGGCAGGGCGCUCUGCUCAGAGCUGCGCAGAGGCCCCAGGCGGGGGACCCGCCCCACGAGUGCCCGGUGUGCGGGAGGCCGUUCCGACACAACUCCCUGCUGCUGCUGCACCUGCGCCUACACACGGGCGAGAAGCCGUUCGAGUGCGCGGAUUGCGGCAAGGCCUUCGGUCGCAAGUCCAACCUUACUCUGCACCAGAAGAUCCACACCAAGGAGAAGCCCUUCGCGUGCACCGAGUGCGGCAAGGCGUUCCGCAGGAGCUACACGCUGAACGAGCACUACCGGCUCCACAGCGGCGAGAGGCCGUACCGGUGCCGCGCCUGCGGGAGGGCCUGCAGCCGGCUGUCCACCCUCAUCCAGCACCAGAAGGUGCACGGCCGCGAGCGCCGGGAGGACACAGGGCAGGCGGGCGCCCCGCUGGGCUUCCUGAUGACCGGGACGACAGGCCGAGGAUUCACGCUGGAAGCUCACCCAAGCCGGCGGGGCCCCAGCGCAGAAAUUCAGAACCCCACGUCCUAAAGGUGAAGCAAAGUCUAAAGAAAGGGCCAGCUCCCACCAGGAGCUCGGCUUCUUGCUCCAGCCGGGCACUGGGGAGGGAAAAGGCACUAGGCAGCCCGUGGUGUGGCCUCAGGAACCACCAUCAGCCACCAUUUCCUGGGACCUUCCGAAAAUGUUCAGGAGCGGGCAGAAGGGAGGGAGGGAGGGGCAGCUAUGCUCAGUCCCCAAAGAGCAGGGCACAGGGGACGCCAUAGACGCAUAUGCAGCUGAGCUCCCCACAGGCCGGCCCGGGUCUUCCUGCAGAACCAUUGGGCACAGCCAGGCCUUAGCACCAGGCCCUGUGAGGCGGUGAAUUUCAGGUGGUGUAAAGCCGACUAACAGGAUACAAGGUGCCUUACUUGGCUGCCAUGUCUCUUGCCUGUAAUCCCAUCACUUUGGGAGGCUGAAGUGGGAGGUUUGCUUAAGCCCUAGAGUUUGAGACCAGCUUGGGCAACAUGGUGAAACUUCUCUGCAA
rnacentral:sRNA from 1 species